GUAAUCUCAGCACUUUGGGAGGCCGAGGUGGGCAGAUCACAAGGUCAGGAAAUCGAGACCAUCCUGACUAACAUGGUGAAACCCCAUCUCUACUGAAAAUACAAAAAAUUAGCUGGGCAUGGUGGCGGGUGCCUGUAAUCCCAGCUACUCUGGAGGCUGAGGCAGGAGAAUGGUGUGAACACGGGAGGCGGAGCUUGCAGUGAGCCAAGAUGACGCCACUGCACUCCAGCCUUGGGGACAGGGUGAGACUCCAUCUCAAAAAAAAAAAAAAAAAAUGGACAAUCCAGUGCUCAACUUUACUGACAAACACUGCAAACCGCCUCCAAAGAGCACAGCCUGUAAGCAAGUCCUCAGGCCUUCCAAAGGGACAAGAAUGCCCAGGAAACACUCAGUAAGAUUAACCAGCAUGAUUUCUUCAUAGCAAAGCCAGUACAGAGAGUAAAAGACACAAUUUAAAGUUAGUUAUGGCCAAGUGUUGUGGCUCACGCCUGUAAUCCCAGCACUGUGGGAGGCCGAGGCAAGUGGAUCAUCUCAGCUCAGAAGUUCGAGACCAGCCUGGGCAACUUGGGGGAACCCUGUCUCUACCAAAAAAUAAAAAAAUUAGCCAGACGUGGUGGUGCACACCUGUGGUCCCAGCCUCUCGAGAUGCUAAGUUAGGAGGAUCGCUUGAGCCUGGGAGUCAGAGGUUGCAGUGAGCCAAGAUUGCGCCACUGCACUCACACAAGCUGGGUGACAGAGUGAGACCCCUUCUCAAAAAAUUAAAAUAUUUUAUUUUAUUUUUUUUCUUUGAGACAGAGUCUCGCCCUGUCGCCCAGGCAGGAGUGCAAUGGCACGAUCUCAGCUCACUGCACCCUCAGUCUCCCAGGUUCAAAAGAUUCUCCUGCCUCAGCCUCCCAAGUAGCUGGGACUACAGGUGUGUGCUACCACGCCCGGCUAAUUUUUGUAUUUUUAGUAGAGACAAGAUUUCACUAUUUGGCCAGGCUGGUCUCGAACUCCUGACCUUGUGAUCCGCCUUGGCCUCCCAAAGUGCUGGGAUUACAGGCAUGAGCCACCGUGACCAGCUAAAAUAUUAAUAAAAAAUAAAGUUAGUUAUCUGCCAUGUUAAUUUGAGGCUUUUUUAUUUUUUAUUUAAUUAUUUAUUUUUGAGACAGGGUCUCACUCUAUAAUCCAGGCUGGAGUGCAGUGGUACGAUCACAGCUCACUGCAGCCUCAAUCUCCCGAACUCCAGCAAUCCUCCCACCUCAGCCUCCCAAGUUGCUGGGACUACAGGUGCACACCAUCAUGCCCCAGUGAUUUUUUUUUUUUUACUUUUAGUAGAGACAAGUAAUGUCUUGUCUAUGUUGCUAAGCUGGUCUCGAACUCCUGAGCUCAAGCGAUCUGCCUGCCUCAGCCUCCAAAGUGCUAAGAUUACAGGUGUAAGCCACCACACCUGGCCAAUUUGAGGCUUUUCAAAGAACAAUCCUAAAAAGGUCUAAAAGGACAUGAACAUAAAACAACCAUUCAGCAAAACUGAUCUAAGCUUGAAUGAACUAUGUAUAGAAUAAUUGUUAACAUUUUAAAUGGAUUAUCUUAUGACAUUAGUAUAGUAUUAGAAACUUAAAUUCUUGCCUAAAUUUUACAGCCAAGUGUAAGAAGAAGUAAAUAAAACAAUUAUAGUGAACGAAUCAUAUGUGAAAUAGAAGGUUCUGAGUUUUCCAUAUAAGGUGAUGGCAAAAUCCUAGAAUUACUAUUCUUUUGGUUUUGUUUGUCUUGCUUUGUUUUGUUAGGGGAGAGAGCGUCAGGGGAACUUAAAUUAUUUCGAACUUC
rnacentral:lncRNA from 1 species